rnacentral:rRNA from 1 species
GAUGAACGCUGGCGGCGUGCCUAAUACAUGCAAGUCGAGCGAACAGACGAGGAGCUUGCUCCUCUGACGUUAGCGGCGGACGGGUGAGUAACACGUGGAUAACCUACCUAUAAGACUGGGAUAACUUCGGGAAACCGGAGCUAAUACCGGAUAAUAUAUUGAACCGCAUGGUUCAAUAGUGAAAGACGGUUUUGCUGUCACUUAUAGAUGGAUCCGCGCCGCAUUAGCUAGUUGGUAAGGUAACGGCUUACCAAGGCAACGAUGCGUAGCCGACCUGAGAGGGUGAUCGGCGACACUGGAACUGAGACGCGGUCCAGACUCCUACGGGAGGCAGCAGUAGGGAAUCUUCCGCAAUGGGCGAAAGCCUGACGGAGCAACGCCGCGUGAGUGAUGAAGGUCUUCGGAUCGUAAAACUCUGUUAUUAGGGAAGAACAAAUGUGUAAGUAACUAUGCACGUCUUGACGGUACCUAAUCAGAAAGCCACGGCUAACUACGUG